rnacentral:rRNA from 1 species
ACGAACGCUGGCGGCAGGCUUAACACAUGCAAGUCGAGCGCCUCGCAAGAGGAGCGGCAGACGGGUGAGUAACGCGUGGGAACCUACCCAAUGGUACGGAACAACUCAGGGAAACUUGAGCUAAUACCGUAUGUGUCCUUCGGGAGAAAGAUUUAUCGCCAUUGGAUGGGCCCGCGUCGGAUUAGCUAGUUGGUGGGGUAAUGGCCUACCAAGGCGACGAUCCGUAGCUGGUCUGAGAGGAUGAUCAGCCACACUGGGACUGAGACACGGCCCAGACUCCUACGGGAGGCAGCAGUGGGGAAUAUUGGACAAUGGGCGCAAGCCUGAUCCAGCCAUGCCGCGUGAGUGAUGAAGGCCUUAGGGUUGUAAAGCUCUUUCAGCUGGGAAGAUAAUGACGGUACCAGCAGAAGAAGCCCCGGCUAACUUCGU